AGGGGAAUAGAACAAGGGUAGUUCAGCGGUCUCCAAAACCGUAGAUGUGGGUUCGAAUCCUGCUUCCCCUGCAA
rnacentral:tRNA from 1 species